GCCAGUGCUGGGAGAGAUUCUGCGAGUGUGUGUCCCCGCUGGCUUGCUUGGUGUGUCAACGUGUGUCGGGGUAAGGAACCGGUUAUCGGUGUGUGGUGCCUAUGUAGCCCCGCCAAGACUCCCUUUCUCUUGGGUCAGCUCAGUCCACGGAGGCAAUUCCCCUUCAGCCGUUGCCAGAAAACCGGCGAGGAAACCGAAUAAACACAAUCUCCAAUAAACAUCUCUAAUGAGGGAGGAGGCCCGAGGAUGGCUGGGUUUGAUUUAUGACUGGAGGAGAAGGUCCACUUCCUACUGCGAAGCGGGCAACCUGCUCACAUUCAGCUCCCGGAAAAGGAACCCGCGGAGGAGAGGACCCCUGUCCAG